rnacentral:rRNA from 1 species
UACAGAGGUCCCAAGCGUUGUUCGGAUUCACUGGGCGUAAAGGGUGCGUAGGCGGUCGGGUAAGUCUGAUGUGAAAUCUCACAGCUCAACUGUGAAACUGCAUUGGAUACUAUUCGGCUUGAGGUCUGGAGGGGGGACUGGAAUUCUCGGUGUAGCAGUGAAAUGCGUAGAUAUCGGGAAGAACACCAACGGCGAAAGCACUCUGCUGGGCCGACACUGACACUGAGAGACGAAAGCUAGGGGAGCAAAUGGG